CCUGACACCCCCUGGCUGUGCUAGCUGGAGCGAUGCUGGUUGGAAUGUCACUGGAAUUAUGAACAGGCUGCCGGGAGUGCUAAAGAAGUGAGACUAGCAUGACAAUAAAAACUGCAAGUCUGUGAGCUGCACAUCCUCCUUUCAGCAGAAAAAGGUCGUUUUAAAUCUGUCAGCUCUGCAGAGGAAGCCAACACAUUUCAUAGCACCUUGAAUCUCUAAAGGAAGUAGCUAUGGACCCCAAGUGCCAGUCAUCUUCCCCUCAGAAACAAACAGUGAAGAAUCGAUCCAAAUCCACUGAUGAGGUCCAGCAAGCGAAGAAGGCUUUCCACACACCACAGAAGUCCCUGCCGGGCAAAACGGAACUGGAGAAACUGAAGGAGACCAGUGAAGUCUUGGAGACAUCGUCUUCAACUGAGGAAUUAACUGGAGCAGAAGAGAACUGAAAGACCACAAGCAACUGGCUUGGCUACUUUUUCCCCUCAAUGGGUUCAUUAUUUUUUCCAGAAACCAAGGAAUCUUUGCAAACUUAUUUCUCUCUUAAUCCAGUCAAAAUGGACCAGGGUACCAUAUUGCGGGUGUGGUAGUAGGGCUUUGCCUUUUUCAUUCUUGCUAUCAUAUUACAAACGCUGAUGUAAUGCCAUUGCAAUGCCAGUUCACCUGUACUGAAUGUACAUUAACAGUAAAAUGACUUGGCAUUGUUCAUGUGAAGUCUUGCCAUGAGUUGGCAUGAGUGCUUGAAUGGGUGACAUCUUACUAGCCAAGUCUUAUUCUGUGUUGUUGAAUGGAUUUUUCAAACCCUUAAAUAUGUUGUCUGUACCUUUUUAUUGCUGCCCUUAUCAUUUUAGUCAUUUGGAAGUCUUGGAAGAUAAAACAUGGGCAUAGCUCCAUUUUGCUCUGAAAUACCGUAUUCCUUUGAAUUAAAGAUGCACUUUUUAAACAAUUUUUUCUUCUAAAAAAUGGCCUGCGUCUUAAAUUCGAGUAUAGUGAUGCAUGUAUUAAAAUCGCCAACAAAAGACAUGAUUACCCAAGUACACAAACAGCAACAUGACUUACUGCCGAGAAAAGAUGAACACAAAUGUUAUUGCCUGAUCUCGAAUCAUCCAUGACAUACAGGCAGCCAUUUUCAAAGAAGCAUCAUUUAGCUUCCUGAGGAAUUCGAAGAGAAGCUUUUACAAUUUCAGCGUUUUGUUAUUAGGCUCCAUUCUAACAAACAGUACCAGCUUUGACAGAUCAGAAAUGCUGAUCAGACCCCCGUAUUUUUCGACAUGCCAAGCAAUAGCAGUUCACAAAAAGGGAGAAAAACAGGUGUGAGUAAUCACGACUGGAAAUGAGAAGCAGCACAUAACUGUAAUGCUCUGUGUGAUAGCAGACGGCCGCAGACUGCCUCCAUAUGCGUAAUUGAGGUUGUACCUUUGUAAAUGCAUAUUUUUUAGGGCUGCUCCAAUUAACAGAUUAUUCAGACCGAUUAAUCAACUAAAUAGUUGAUCGCAGAUUAAUUUAUGUUACAAUUUAAUUGGGCAGUUUUUUUUUUGGCUGGGCAUUUUGAACUCCAUUUCCCAACACACCCAGCUGAGAAAGAAUGCGAGUGAGAAGGCUUCCCGUGGCAGUUCGUGUCUGUUUUUUUGUUGCUACACACACACACACAAGAGUAAAUGUAUUUUACUAGUGUCACAAGCUGCGACUAUAACGUUUUGUUUUAUUGAUGUUAGUACUGUUAAUAUUACAUUACUGUUCAAGUUGUUCAUGUAUAUCGAUUUUUACUAGUUUAUAUUGUGGAACAUGGGUAGUAGAGUUGUUUUAACUGAUGUUUACCUGUUUCAUGGUCCUGAAUUAUUUUAUUUCUUUUGUCCGGAAGCCCUAAAUAUAAUGUAAAAAAUUAGUAAAAUAAAGAUGUUCAUAAGGAGGCAUAAGUGUUAUAUAUGGUAUGGUUGCAUCAAAGACAAACAAAAUAAGCCCAUUCUCAGUUCUUGUGCAUUAUAUUUUGCUAUUAAACUCUUUCAUGGAUUGACGUUGUUCUGUGAAAAUGUGUUACAUUUACUGAAAUAAAAACGCUUUUAAAAUGACCAAAUUCCCAUUGGGCUUAUGUUAUUUUAGAUUCUAUUGAUUUUUUUAUGUAUUAAUAUGCAGGACAGCCACUAUAAGAUUGUUACCUUUUUAAUCAAGUGACAGCCCUAAUAUUUAUUUGAUGAUUUAUUUUUUCCUCAGAUUGAGGGUGGGAAAUUUGGGCUGCCUCUUAAAUUCGAGGGUGUCUUAAAUUCGAAGGAAUACGGUAAAUAAAUGACACCUGGUGACAACACCUGCAGGAUUACGUUGAAGUUGAAGAGUAGUGUUAUUUAGAUCUGUAAUUGAUUAGAUCAUGAAAAUGGACCAACUAUCUAACCCAGAGAACGAGAGAGAGGGCUGCUCUGUAGGGUUGUAGCUACAGAAAUGUUUCAAAGCGAAGGUAAACUAAACGAGAAUGGGUCAGUACAAGCUGUACUGGUAGAGGCAGUUUGGAAGAUGGGUGUUUAAAGCCUUGCUUACUUUUAUUUGGUGUACCAUUGUGCUCUAAUGUAGAACAAAGUCCAACUGUAUGAACUAGUUUGAAGUUGCCAUUAUUUACAGUACCUUUUAAAACCAGUUUACUAUGCCAAUUCAAAACACAUCCUUGCAUCUGAGCAACUGUACAUGCCUUGUAUGUGGAAUAUGUGUUUAAAAUGUGGAUAUUUUCUCAUGACUAAAACAUGCUUGUUCAAUAUAUAUAUAUAUAUAUAUAUAUAUAUUGUGACAAAGCACAACUCACUCGGGUUCGUUGCCCCUUUAAAAAUAGACCCAGCAGACAGAAAUUGAGUUUUCAGCGCGGUUGCGCUAUUUUUAAUAAGCACAAAAAUAAACAAACACAAAACAACACCUAGCUCCUUCGGAGCGCUAACUAAACCUCAGGAACACCCUGACUAUAAAGUGGGACGGCUAAGCCGUUUCCCCACAACACAAAGCAAAAACACACAGUAUUUUUACAAAACCCUUACUUUUUCCAGUGGCUGCUUGGACACAGAACACUCUACCUGUCUCCUUCUAGACAGCAGCCCUGUGCAGACUGACUGCACCUCUUAUAUACCCUGCACCUGGUCCUAAUUUACAAUCACUACCAGGUGCAGGGGAUCAUUAACAAUAAACCAAUUAACAAAUUAAAUUAAACAAUUAACGAAACUAAAGGUUUUUCCCUCUGGGAGAUGUAGUCCCAUUCCCCCAGGACUACACUACCUUACACUUCCUCCCCCUUGUCUUUACAAGACACCGGCCAUUUAACGGCCAUCUCCCCCCCCCCCACCCUUAAAAGCCCACCCACCCUCAAGUCCCAAGUCUUUGGUUUUCAGCCUCUUCCACAGGCGUGCUUGAGGGUGGGUCGGUCCUUCCUCCGGCACACUCAGGAAGGGACCACGCACCAGCCAGAAGGGACCAGGACGGCUUGUCCUGGGUGACCGAAACGCAGGCCUUUGACCGGGAGUGAGCUGUGACAGGCAGAAGUGGGUCGCUCGGGACCGGCGCAGCGACGUCUGGGACCCUGAGGGGAACAAAGUGGAAGGAAGGGGGAGCGCACGCGACGUCUGACGCCCACGGCGUGACGUCUCAGGUUCCGGGAGGAGCGGAGCUGGGGACCGUGCACACAGUUGUGCCUGGCAGUGCUGCGACCUGGGCAUAAGGUCGAGUGGAGGGAGGUCGGGGCAUUCCGGACUGGUGUCCAUGUAGCUGGAGCACGGGACCGCACUUGAAAGUGGCGGAGUGUCUCCCUCGGCCUGUUGCUGAGGCUCUGUUGGAGGUGGGUUGCUCACCUCCUCCCCCUUGACUGCAUCCGGUGGUUCCUGUGACAGCUCCACCCCCUCUGGCUCUCGGGAUGGUAGCUCCACCCCCUCUAGGGCUGCAGCCAGCGGUGCCUCUCUUGCCUGCUCCCACUUUUGGAGCAGCAGCACCAGCCUAUUUGGCUCCGGAUCCGGCAGUCCCAGCUCCAGUCUCCACCUUUCGGUCUGUUCCUUUUGAGCAGCGGUAUUCUGGUUGAUCCUUGCAACCAACUCCUCAAUGGUUUCCAUUCCUAGGGUCGUAGGGGCGCCCACACUUUCUGACACCACGUUGUAAUAAAGCUGCAACUCACUCGGUUCUAGCCCCUUUACAAAUUGACCCAGCAGACAGAAAUUGAGUUUUCAGCGCGGUUGCGCUAUUUUUAAUAAGCACAAAAAUAAACAAACACAAAACAACACCUAGCUCCUUCGGAGCGCUAACUAAACCUCAGGAACACCCUGACUAUAAAGUGGGACGGCUAAGCCGUUUCCCCACAACACAAAGCAAAAACACACAGUAUUUUUACAAAACCCUUACUUUUUCCAGUGGCUGCUUGGACACAGAACACUCUACCUGUCUCCUUCUAGACAGCGGCCCUGUGCAGACUGACUGCACCUCUUAUAUACCCUGCACCUGGUCCUAAUUUACAAUCACUACCAGGUGCAGGGGAUCAUUAACAAUAAACCAAUUAACAAAUUAAAUUAAACAAUUAACCAAACUAAAGGUUUUUCCCUCUGGGAGAUGUAGUCCCAUUCCCCCAGGACUACACUACCUUACAAUAUAUAUAUAUAUAUAUAUAUAUAUAUAUAUAUAUAUAUAUAUAUAUAUAUAUAUAUAUAUAUAGACGGCUAUGGUCAAAAGUUUUGUAUUACCUAGAAUUUUAGGAUAGAGAAAUAAUUUAAAAAAAUAAAUAAAGAAAAACUAUAUGAACAUAAUUUAGAUAUUUUAUCAUGUAAUCAAAGAAACUACUAAAUGAUAUUGCAAAAGUCUACCAGAAGCCAUAAUAGUAGUACAGUAUUUCAUGUUAGAUUUUGAAAUGUCGUAUUUUUCGUUAAGUAUAUGGAAAACUACAAAGCGGUGUGUAAUUCAGUAUGUUAACGUAACAUUAUUCAGCAGGUUUCAUCUGACUUUAUGAAGCUAAAUUUGUGAAUUCUAUAGGGUGAUGUUAAACGUUUGGCCACAGGUGUAUAUAUUUUGCUUCUGCUUUGUUAAAUGAAAACAUGUAUUACAUUACUUUUCCUUUUUCACUUUACAGUAUUGGUUUAAUUGCAGCAUGUUGCAGUAUUGGUGUUUUAUUAAUUCUAUUUCCAGGCAGCGUUGUUUUAAUAUCUGAAGUUCAGCCAAUCCAUCCAAAGCGUAGCUCUCUUAAUUCUGUGAUGUCAGUGUAUAUGGUUUAUUGCUGUGUGCUGUGUGGAUUAUUUUUGUAAAACUAUCAAUUAAACGUAUUAUGAAGCAACAUGCUCUGCUUUUUAUUGGGAAUGGAAUAGUGUUUCUUUUUAAGUGGUUGUUAUUACUUACACCAUUUUCACAGAAUACCGACAAUACACAAUUACUCGGUGUGACUGAAAUGACUGUCUUGCCUUCAACUGCCCUGCUAACAAUUGCUUUGUAAUCUGCAGGGGUUAAAAGGAUUGCUGC